CUGACUGUAGUCCUCAUGCUUGGAGUCAAACACUUUAACCACUGCACACGUUUAUGUAAUAGGAUUGACAUAUGAGAAUCAGAGAAAUGAAUGAAAGAUUAGAGGUAAGCAAGAGCCAAGUAAUAGUGGAGGUGAGAGGGGGAAGUGGGCGUGACUGUGUGAGAGGGGGAAGUGGGCGUGACUACAAAAGGACAGCAAUGGAUUCCAGGCUCAAAGCAAACAAUUUGUAUUUAGCUGUGGCAGAACUGAUAACCUAGUUGUGAUAUUGUGUAACAGCAAUGCUAAAGCUGGGUAAGAAGAUUGAAAGAUCUCUAUUUUUUUUUAAUUGCUGCAUGAGAACAUUCAAAAAGCUUAACAAAAGUGAGAGAAAGUGCUUGCUGCCAAGCUUGAUGACCUAAAUUGAAUACCUGGAACCUACACGACAGAAAGAGAGAGCUGACUGCUGAAAGAUGUCCUCAGAUCUUCACAUGUGCACAGUGGCACCUAUCCAACCAUGCACAUAGUAUAUUAAAAAUUAUUUUUU
ensembl:processed_transcript AV026068 expressed sequence AV026068